UCAUAGUUCACCUUUUGGGGCUUGUUGGGACUGAAGUCUAGGUAUAGGUCUAGAAGCAAAAAUGGGCAGUGGCAGUGGGAUGUUCAGCCCUGUCUUAUAAGGCAUCUGCCUACGGUGAUGCCCCAGGCAAUGCCCCAGAUCCCACCCCAGGAGAUAACUCAAACAAGACACUUCAGGCACAGCUGGGGUAAUCUCAUCAGAUGGAGGUGGAAGGGAUAAUUGUUUUACUGGGAAGGGUGCCUUAGCAGGCAAAGUUAGAGAAUCUCUUCAGAUGGGAGUAAGUGGUCUGGUUCUGUUAGGAAGAGCGAUUCAACGGAAAUUGGAGGUUCAUUGUCCCCCGCUUCCUGACUGUCUGCCCAUAUGUCCUCAUCCCAAGUUUCAGGAUCCCAUUUCUUCCCAAUCAGUGCCCUCACUUUAACUUCGGACACCAUUUGAGGCUGGAUAUUCAACUGGCGCUUUAAUUCAGUCACUCUUAAGAUAAGAAUCUGAGUUUAUUUUUGGCAGCAUUAGCCUUGUUACUAUAAGAAAUAUGGUUUUCUUUCUGGGCACAAGUGGCAGCUUUCAGAUCUUGUAUGUGGUGCUUGAGCUUUGAGUCCAUUUCUUUCAUUCACCAGUGUGGCUAGCAAAAGCAGGACCAACCAAGCAGCUUCCUUAUUAUUCUUAUUCUGACAAAAUUAUAGAAAAGUAUCAAAUAUAUAAUCAGGCAGAGCCUUGUCUCUCACAAGUAUUUGAUCCAGUGGUAGUAUUAUUUUGUGUAUUUCUAUUGUCACCUCACACCAUGGAUUAGCAAUAGCCUGUUUACUUCUGGAGACAGUCAUCAGUGCCUUUAAGACUAGCCAGACUUGAGAAUCAAUUCAGAAAACUCAUCCUUAAGAUUUGGUUCCUCUAGAACCAGUGUAGGUACCAAAUGUCUUAGCCUGGGAUCUGUAGAGGUGCAAAACUAGUGAAGAGAACAUGUAUAUAUAUACACAUAUAUAUGAGUGUGUGUAUAUGUGUGUGUGUUUGUGUAUAUAUAUAUAUGGAAACCCUAGUUGCAUAAUGGUUAAUAGGUAUAGCUGCUAACAAAAGGUUAGCAGUUCGAAUCCACCAGGCACUCCUUGGGAACUCUGUGGGGCAGUUCUACUCUGUCCUGUAGGGUCACUAUGAGUUGGAACCGACUCGAUGGCAAUGGGUAUACACACAGACACACACACACACAUAUAUAUGCAUACGUGCAUAUGUUAGUUGUUGUUGCUGUUAGAUGCCAUCGAUCCUGUGUAAAACAGAAUGAAACACUGCCUGAUCCUGAACCAUCCUCACAAUCAUUGCUAUGUUUGAGCCCAUUCUUGCAGCCAGUGUGUCAGUUCAUGUUGUUGAGCGCCUUCCUCUUUUUUUCUGACCCUCAGCUUUUCCAAGCAUGAUGAGCCUCUCCUGGGACAGGUCCCUCCUGAAAAUAUGUCCAAGGCACGUGAGACGAAGUCUCGCCAUCCUUGCUUCUAAGGUACAUUCUUGGUGUACUUCUUCCAAGAUGGUUUUGUUUAUUCUUCUGGCAGUCCAUGGUAUAUUCAGUAUUCUUUGCCAACACCAUAUUUUAAAUGAAUCAGUUCUUCGGUUUUCCGUAUUCAUUGUCUAACUUGCUCAAGCAUGUGAGGUGAUAGAAAAUAUCAUGGCUUUGCUCAGGCACACCUUAGUCCUCAAAGUGACAUCUUUCCUUCACAACACUUUAAGGAGGUCUUUUGCAAUAGAUUUGCCCAAUGCAAUACAUUGUUUGAAUUCUUGACUGCUGCAUCUGUGGGCAUUGAUUAUGGAUUCAAGUAAAAAGAAUUGCUCGAUGACUUCAGUAUUUUCUCUAUUUAUCAUGGUGUUGCUUACUGGUCCAGUUGUGAGGAUUUUUGUUUUCUUUAUGUUGAGGUGUAAUCCAUACUGAAGGCUGUAGUGGUUGCUCUUCAUCAGUAACUGCUUCAAGUCCUCUUUACUUUCAGCAAGCAAGGUCGUAUCAGCUCCAUAUCAUAGGUUGUUAGUGAAUCUUUCUCCAAAACUAAUGCCAUGUUCUUCUUCUUACAGACCAGCUUCUCAGAUUAUUUGCUCAGCAUACAGAUUGAGUAAGUAUGGUGAAAGGAUACCACCAUGACACAUAACUUUCUCAUUUUAAACCAGACAGUAUCCCCUUGCCCUACUCAAAUGACUGCCUCUUGGUCUACGUAGAUAUUCCGCAUGACUACAGUUAAGUGUUCUGGAAUUCCCAUUCUUUGGUAAGCUAUCCAUAAUUUGUCAUGAGCCACACAGUUGAGUGUGCUUGUAUAGUAAACAAAAAUAGGUAAACAUCUUACUGAUAUUCUCUACUUUCAGCCAAGAUCCAUCAGACAUCAGAAAUGAUAUCCCACAUUCCAUGUCUUCCUCUGAAUCCAGCUUGAAUUUUUGGUAGUUCCCUGUCUGUGUACUGCUGCAAUUGUUUUUAAAUUAUAUUCAGCAAAAUUUUUCUUGCGUGUGAUGUUAAUGAUGUUGCGCGAUAAUUUCCUCAUUGCGUUGGACCACCUCUCUUUGGAAUGGGCACACAUAUAGAUCUCUUCCAGUCAUUUGGUCAGGUAGCUGUCUUCCAAAUAUAUUGGAAUAGACAAGUGAGCGCCUCCAGCACUGCAUCCAUGUGUUGAAACAUCUCAUUUGGUACUCUAUCAAUUCCUGGAGCCAUUUUUUUUGCCAAUGCCUUCAGUGCAGCUUGGAGUUCUUCCUUCAGUACCAUCAGCUCUUGAUCCUAUGCUACCUCCUGAAAUGGUUGAACGUCGACCAAUUGUUUUUGGUGUAUUGAGUCUGUGUAUUCCUUCCAUCUACUUUUGAUGUUUCCUGUGUUGUUCGAUAUUUUGCCCAUAGAAUCCUUCAGUAUUGCACCUAGAGGCUUGAAUAUUUCCUUCAGUUCUUUCAGCUUGAGAAAUGCCAGGUGUUUUCUUCCCUUUUGGUUUUCUAACUCCAGAUCUGUUCACAUUAUAUUAUCAUACUUUGUCUUCUCCAGCUUCCCUUUCAGGUAUUCUAUUGAGCUCUUUUACUUUAUUUUUCCUUCCAUUCUCUUUAGCUACUGUACAUUCAAGAGCAAGAUUCAGAGUCUCUUGUGACAUCCUCUUUGGUCUUUGCUUUCUUUCCUGUCUUUCUAAUGACUGUUUUUUUCAUAUAUGAUGUCCUUGCUAUCAUCCCACAACUAAUCUGGUCCUCGAUCCUUAGUGUGCAGUGCAUCAAAUCUAUUCUUGAGAUGGUCUCUAAAUUCAGGUUUGAUAUACUCAAGGACAUACUUUGACUCAUGGACUUGUUUUAAUUUUCUUCAGCUUCAACUUGAACGUGAAUAUGAGCAACUGAUCAUCUGUUCUGCAGUCAGCCCCUGGCCUGCUUCUGACUCAUGAUAUUGACCUUCUCCAUCAUCACCUUCCACAAAUUUGAUUCCUGUCUAUUCUGCCUGGAAUGGUUCAUGAGUAUAGUCACCGUUUAUGUUCCUGAUGAAAGCUUAAAUACAGACCAGAAGAGGAGUUUGGGGCUUGACACCUGACAUCUUAACACCAGUUCCUGUUUCUUGAGGAAGGAAGAGGUAAAAUAAAUCAGCGUUUACUGUUUCCUUCUCCAUCCCCGGAAGUCCUGAUGAAGACCCUCUCAGCUUCAACUUGAACGUGAAUAUGAGCAACUGAUCAUCUGUUCUGCAGUCAGCCCCUGGCCUGAUUCUGACUCAUGGUAUUGACCUUCUCCAUCAUCACCUUCCACAAAUUUGAUUCCUGUCUAUUCUGCCUGGAAUGGUUCAUGAGUAUAGUCACCGUUUAUGUUCCUGAUGAAAGCAGGAGACGGAUUCGUGGAGAGAGGCGGAUUCCAUGUGUGCUGGCAAAGUGUGUGCUGAGAUGAUGAGUCGCUGGAGACCAGGGUGGACUCUUCAGACCCAGGAUAGGCCUCUGGCAGCAGGAGAAGGAUUCGUGGAGAGAGGCGGAUUCCAUGUGUGCUGGCAAAGUGUGUGCUGAGAUGAUGAGUCGCUGGAGACCAGGGUGGACUCUUCAGACCCAGGAUAGGCCUCUGGCAGGUAUGUGUCAAUGUUUUCUGCCCAUGGCACUCAGCCGGGUAUUUGAAUCCAAUGUUAUCAGCGGAAUUAGUAGUCUCCGGAGAGGCUGCCACAUGUCAACAAGAUUCACCCAGCCAAGGUUCACCCGUGAUGUAGCUCCCCAAUCAAUCACUACUCCCUAGUCCUUCCAGAUAGACUACCAGAUCUUCUGUGCCCAUGGGCAACCAGUACAGCCAGAGGCCUUCCCCCUUUGCUCUUUCGUCUCUAGACACUCUGUCAGGCACUCCAAGCUGCGAAGUGACUCAGGGGGAGAAGGAAGAGAUUUCCGAGAAGGAACACAUACAGAGAGAGAGGCAAGAGAUGCUGAGUGGGGAUGUCUUGCGUACUGAUAUCCUGAGGAAAGUGGGAAAAUUGGACCCUGGCCUGCUGUGCCAAUGCCCUGAAGCAGUCCGCACCAGGGGCUCCCUUGUGCCUGCGUAGCCUUUCCCAGGGUGUGCUCAAAUCCUGUGGCCACUAGGUGUCUUGGGUCACAAUGGAGGGCCCUGUGUCAUCUGCCUGGCGGGCUGGAUCUCUGCCAUUGGCUGAGUCUUGUCGCCAGGCCCAUCAUAAGAUGCGCCCACUCUGCCGGUGGGGAGACUGUCUCCAUGGUGAUGGCAAAGAAGCCUUAGUCCCGCCCACCUGGCCUUGACUUCACCUACCCGGCCUGCUGACCCUCACUCAGACCUCUGUGUUGAUCAAAAUGAAUGUCCGCCAGU